AAAUCGACAUGUGCAAAAACGUAAUCGACCUUCGUCGAUUUUUUUAUUUCAAAAUUAAAGAAACGGCUUGAGAUAUUCCGAGCAGUUAUAAAAAUUAAUUUGCGUUGAAUAUUGCUACUACAUUCUUGAAAAAGUGAUGUAGAUUUAUAGCCCAUAACUUUUUUGAAUUACAUCGACGAUACGGCGUCGAAAGAAAAAUAAAUAGACCGUAUGAAAGAAAAAG
rnacentral:ncRNA from 27 species